rnacentral:rRNA from 1 species
UACGUAGGGUGCAAGCGUUGUCCGGAAUUAUUGGGCGUAAAGAGCUCGUAGGCGGUCAGUCGCGUCUGCUGUGAAAACUCGGGGCUUAACUCCGGGCCUGCAGUGGGUACGGGCUGACUAGAGUGCGGUAGGGGAGACUGGAAUUCCUGGUGUAGCGGUGAAAUGCGCAGAUAUCAGGAGGAACACCAGUGGCGAAGGCGGUGCUCUGGGCCGGAACUGACGCUGAUGAGCGAAAGCGUGGGGAGCAAACAGG